UACGUAGGGGGCAAGCGUUGUCCGGAUUCAUUGGGCGUAAAGAGCGUGUAGGCGGCCAGGCAGGUCCGCUGUGAAAACUCGAGGCUCAACCUCGAGAUGUCGGUGGAAACCGUCUGGCUAGAGUCCGGAAGAGGAGAGUGGAAUUCCCGGUGUAACGGUGAAAUGCGCAGAUAUCGGGAAGAACACCCGUGGCGAAGGCGGCUCUCUGGGACGGUACUGACGCUGAGACGCGAAAGCGUGGGGAGCGAACAGG
rnacentral:rRNA from 1 species